CCUACGGGUGGCAGCAGUGGGGAAUAUUGCACAAUGGGCGCAAGCCUGAUGCAGCCAUGCCGCGUGUGUGAAGAAGGCCUUCGGGUUGUAAAGCACUUUCAGCGGGGAGGAAGGCGUUAAGGUUAAUAACCUUGUCGAUUGACGUUACCCGCAGAAGAAGCACCGGCUAACUCCGUGCCAGCAGCCGCGGUAAUACGGAGGGUGCAAGCGUUAAUCGGAAUUACUGGGCGGAAAGCGCACGCAGGCGGUCUGUCAAGUCGGAUGUGAAAUCCCCGGGCUCAACCUGGGAACUGCAUUCGAAACUGGCAGGCUAGAGUCUUGUAGAGGGGGGUAGAAUUCCAGGUGUAGCGGUGAAAUGCGUAGAGAUCUGGAGGAAUACCGGUGGCGAAGGCGGCCCCCUGGACAAAGACUGACGCUCAGGUGCGAAAGCGUGGGGAGCAAACAGGAUUAGAUACCCGGGUAGUC
rnacentral:rRNA from 1 species